GGGCGAAGUGCCAUUAGGUCGGGAGUGGUGUGAUUUUGGUCACAUGAGCCUAUCAGGUAGCCGCUUUCUCCUCACCAUAACAACCAGAUAUCAACAAUGGCGACUACAACAUCGGAGAGUGAAGAAGAGCGAUUGGAGAAAAAAAGUUAAAAGAGUGCAGAAAGUGGGAAAUAAACGAUGCCUCAUGCAUCUUUUUUCACUUAUCAACGGUGGAACAUGAACAGAACCUGCUUAAAAAGUGGCUUUGUCUUCACGGCGCUAUCAAGUAUCUUGCAGAAAUAUACCAACAUUGCGUGGAUAUGGAUUUUGAAAAUAUUCCUGGCGACGCUGGAUUUAACACUACAUGCUACCGGCAUUUUACUGAUAAACAGAACCCCCCUGCGAGUACUAGGGAAGUUGCAGAAGCGUCUGAAACUCCCAGAAAAAAACUUUGUUCCGGUUCAGGUUUGCCCAUCGCUUCUGCUGGCCCUGUCCUUCCAGCCAUCUGCAUCGUUUGUUUAAAAAAAAAAAAAAAAAAAGUUUCAAAGUAUGCUCGUUUGGGAUUGGAAGGCAAACGGCAGAGGGAUCAUCUCGCCAAAGCAGAGACAUUGUCGGCAGGUAUGUGCAUCACACACACGCGCACAUUUUUUUAAAACAAUAUGACCGAUGUUUAUUAAAGGACUGAAAAUAAUUUGUUGUUAAUUUUUAAGGCUAUAGUUUAGUAAAAACGCGAGCUGCUGAAUAAUUUAUCGAGUGAAUCCAGCAGUUGUCACCAAACUCGGGUUAGCUGUGCCCCUCACAGUCAUAGAUCACAGCUACCCCCCACCCCCACCCACCCAACCAACCAACCAACCAACCUCAACAAACCCUUUACGUUUAAAUCUGUGAUGUGCAUAUACUGUGAAAAGCGGUGAUGUGACAAUAAUACCUAUUAUCAUUCUUUUUUGUGUAAAGGCCGGUUGCUGCAGGCAGCAGAGAUGAAGAAAGACUCUUCAAUCAUUUUACAUAUCAAAGACAAAAGACUGUGUUGCAAUGGAGGUGCGAUACCAUAAAUCCUGUUACCAAGAUUACACCAGGUUCCUAACCAAGUCAACAGCAACAGAAACUGCAACGAGGGACGAAGAACUACAACCCUAUGCUGAGAGCUACAAACUCUUGUGAACAAGUGGUCCGUCAAAGGAUUAUCGUUGACAAAAGUGCUCAGAAUGGACAAGCUAAGAAGGUUGUUCAUGAACACCGUGAAGAACCAUGAGGAUCUUGAUGCUUCAGACUACAGGUAGGUUUUGCUGAAAAGAAGAUUGAAGCGUGAUUUACGCCGGUUGGUUUUUCACACCCCUUUCCAGCGCAACAUGUCUGAAAUGUUUUUUUUUGGAGACAUUACCAACAACAGACAAACUUUUAGACAGGAUACCUCAGUCAUCGGGUACAUCAGCUACCGAAUCUACUGAGGUAAGCCAAGAAAGUGACACUGAACAAAUGGCUGGCACAACAUCUGGUUGGAAAACCAGCUCUUGGCCCAAAUGUUUGUUCAGCCCUCAUUGGCAUCCAUACAUUAACAGGUUGUGACUCGACCAGUGCCUUUCAUGGCUUGGGCAAAACAAAGACAUUUUCUCUUGCUUAUCAACAAGAAGAAUACCUGACUGCGUUUACAGAUCUGGGUAGUAGUUUUAACCUCGACCAGUCUACUUUUGAGGCAUUGAGCAAAUAUGUGUGCCAUCUGUAUGGCCAGUCAACUGCAAAAAAUGUCAACAGUGCAAGAUAGAAGGCAUUCUGUAUGGCAUCGUCAGCUUUGCCAGAACUGUCCAUUCCUCCAACAAGUGAUGCUCUCUUCCAACACAGCAAAAGGGCAAACUACCAAGCAGCAGUUGCCACAUUUACAUGGAGCCAAAUAUUCCAAUUACAAUCGGAAUAUCUGUUCAAACCGAAUAAAUGUGUUCCAUAUAAACACCUCAUUCGGAAUGAACAGGCCCAAACCGAAUGGAAUUUCAUUCCGAUUCACAGGGGUGGAAUAUUCCUUUUCCCAAACCGAUUAGAAGUAAAAUUAUAUCAUGUAAACAGGGAAGCGGAAUGGUGUCUGGUUGCGUUCUUUCUGCGCAUGCUCCGUACUGACGUGGUGACGUCACUUGGUGACGUAAGUAACGUCACUUGCAACAUGGCUUCCAGGCACAUGCACAGCGCACCCACACAACUUUUUAAAUGAACGGCGUAUCAUUCUGAAGUUUUGUUUCCACUCGAAAAGUUAAAACAGCAGCUGAUCUGACGAUCGAUCUCCAUGUUUUGCAACGUGACGCUUUGUUUUGAUUAAUCUGCGCAUGUCAGACGGCAGUUGUCAAACGUCCUUUCGGAAUAAUGGCAGUCACAUGUAAACGCUGGAUCGGAAUAGAUGAAGUGACAUGUAAACAGCUGAUGUGAAAUUUCCAUUCGGAAUGAUUUGAAUCGGUAUGAAUAAAAGUCAGCAUGUAAACGUGGCUAGUAAUGCGACAUUCUCUGACUGGUAUGGUGUGUGCCCCUUCACCAAUUGGCAAUGGAUGGGACAUUGAGGAUGGUGAAUUAACAGUAAAAUGAAUGACUAGAAAUCCUGCCCCAGAUAGUGUGCUAUAGGUAGUCCACUGUGGUUGCAAGAUAAGCAAGUGUGAGACUGAAAGAUGUUCAUGCUUGUCUGCAAAAAUGUCUUGUACAGAUUUAUUCCUCUGCCAGAACUGUAAGAAUAUCUCAAAGGAAACAGAAAGAGGCACAUGGGAUAAUGACACUGAUGAUAGUGAUAUUGAUGAGUAAUCACCCACCAUGUAAAAUCUGUCCUAAGUUUUGAUUCAUUAUCAAGAUGGUACUCUCCAUUUUAACACUUUUAAAACAA